AGCGAACGCUGGCGGCAGGCCUAACACAUGCAAGUCGAACGAACCUUUCGGGGUUAGUGGCGGACGGGUGAGUAACACGUGGGAACGUGCCUUUAGGUUCGGAAUAACUCAGGGAAACUUGUGCUAAUACCGAAUGUGCCCUUCGGGGGAAAGAUUAAUCGCCUUUAGAGCGGCCCGCGUCUGAUUAGCUAGUUGGUUGAGGUAAUGGCUCACCAAGGCGACGAUCAGUAGCUGGUCUGAGAGGAUGAUCAGCCACAUUGGGACUGAGACACGGCCCAAACUCCUACGGGAGGCAGCAGUGGGGAAUCUUGCGCAAUGGCGAAAGCCUGACGCAGCCAUGCCGCGUGAAUGAUGAAGGUCUUAGGAUUGUAAAAUUCUUUCACCGGGGACGAUAAUGACGGUACCCGGAGAAGAAGCCCCGGCUAACUUCGUG
rnacentral:rRNA from 1 species